GGCACUAUAGCCAAGUGGUUAAGGCGACAGAUUAGAACUUGCCUUGGGAGGUCCAUCUGUUACUCUCUGAGUGCGCAGGUUCAAAUCCUGCUGGUGUCG